UGCGGGUUAACGCGGCGUUUGCCGCGCGGUACAACCGCUACCGGGAACGCGAGGAACUGCAGCGGCUGAAGGAUCGCUACGGGGACCGAGACAGCAGCAGCGACUCCAGCUCCGAGUCGGACUCCAGCGACGAGCGCGUGGAAUUUGACCCCCAGCAGGAGCGGGACUUUUACAAAACGCUCUCCUUGUUGAAGAAGAAGGACCCCCGCAUUUAUCAGAAAGAUGCCACCUUCUAUAACAGAACAGCAUCAUCAUCAGACAGUGAGGAGGACCCAGAAGCCUUGGAGAAGCAGAAGAAAGUGCGGCCCAUGUACCUGAAGGACUACGAGAGGAAGGUUAUCUUGGAGAAGGCAGGCAAAUAUGUUGACGAGGAGAACUCAGACGGGGAGACUUCCAAUCACAGACUCCAGGUGGGUGGGGUGAAGGCUGGGUCGGGGGGCUGAGGGGCCUGGGGCUGGCCUGAGACCUAUGGCCCUCUCUGCAGGAGACAUCGUCGCAAAGUUAUGUGGAGGAACAGAAACAGCUCAAGGAAAGCUUCCGGGCAUUUGUGGAGGACAGUGAGGACGAGGACGGCGCUGGGGAGGGCGGCUCCAGUUUGCUGCAGAAACGUGCCAAAACCAGGCAGGAGAAGGCCCAGGAGGAGGCCGACUACAUCGAGUGGCUGAAGGGACAGAAAGAGAUUCGGAACCCAGAUUCCCUGAAGGAACUGACGCAUCUCAAGGAAUACUGGAACGACCCUGAGUUGGAUGAAGGGGAGCGGUUCCUGCGGGAUUACAUCCUCAACAAACGCUACGAGGAGGAGGAAGAGGAGGAGGAAAUGGAGGAAGAGGAGGGGGUCCACGGUCCCCCAGUCCAGCUGGCUGUGGACGACUCCUCAGACGAAGGGGAGCUGUUUCUGAAGAACCAGGAGGACUUUGAACAGAAGUACAAUUUCCGUUUCGAGGAGCCGGACUCAGCAUCGGUCAAGACCUACCCACGCAGCAUCGCGUCCUCCGUGCGCCGUAAGGAUGAGCGCAGAAAGGAGAAGAGGGAAGAGACUCGGGAGCGAAAGAAGAGGGAGAAAGCCAAGAAGCAGGAGGAGCUCAAGCAGCUGAAGAACCUGAAGAGGAAGGAGAUUCUGGCCAAGCUGGAGAAGCUGCGGAAAGUAACAGGCAACGAGACGCUGGGCCUCGAGGAGGGGGACCUUGAAGAUGACUUCGACCCUGCCCAGCACGACCAGCUCAUGCAGAAGUGCUUUGGGGACGAGUACUACGGGGCCGUGGAGGAGGAGAAGCCACAAUUUGAGGAAGAAGAAGGGCUUGAAGACGACUGGAACUGGGACACGUGGGACGGGCCUGAGCAGGAGGGAGACUGGAGCCAGCAGGAGCUGCACUGUGAGGACCCCAACUUCAACGUAGGUAUCACGGGUUGAGGGAGUCCCAGGGGCCCUGACGGGGGGCUGGUGGGAUCUGACCUGUGCGUCCUGGCAGAUGGACGCCGACUACGACCCCAGCCAGCCGAGGAAGAAAAAGCGCGAGGCCCCCUUGACAGGCAAGAAGAAGCGCAAGUCGCCCUUCGCCGCGGCCGUGGGGCAGGAGAAGCCCGUGUUCGAACCCGGUGAGGCCCAGGUGGGCAGGCCGUGGGUAGGCAGGGGGCACUGCGGGGCCUGGCAUAGCCCAGCAGCCUGGCUCUGUCUCGAGCAGGGGAUAAGACGUUCGAGGAGUACCUGGAUGAGUAUUACCGGCUGGACUACGAGGACAUCAUCGACGACCUGCCCUGUCGCUUCAAGUACCGCACAGUGGUGCCCUGUGACUUUGGCCUCAGCACUGAGGAGAUAUUCGCUGCUGACGAUAAGGAGCUGAACCGGUGGUGCUCCCUAAAGAAGACCUGCAUGUACAGGUCAGAGCAGGAGGAGCUGCGGGACAAGCGGGCGUACAGCCAGAAGGCCCAGAACUCAUGGAAAAAGCGGCAGGUCUUCAAGUCACUCUGCCGAGAAGAGGCAGAGACACCUGCGGAAGCCACAGGGAAGCCACACAGAGAUGAAGCCGGCCCACAGAGGCAGCUGCCAGCCCUUGAUGGCAGCUUGAUGGGGCUGGAGAGUCCCCCAGCACAGGAAGAGGAAGCCCCUGUAUCACCCCACAAGAAGCCAGCCCCCCAGAAGCGGAGGAGGGCCAAGAAGGCACGGCUGCUGGGCCCCACUGUGAUGCUUGGUGGAUGCGAGUUCAGCCGCCAGAGACUGCAGGCCUUUGGCCUCAACCCCAAACGGCUGCACUUCCGCCAGCUGGGCUGGCAGCGGAGGAAACAACAGGGGCCCAAGAACAGCUCCUGAGCACCAGGGAGCAGGCAGGGGCCUCAGGCUCCUCUCCUCAAAUCAAGCCCUGGACAGGUCUCGCACCCACAAGUACUAUCUGCUGCAGAGAUCCUCUCAUCUGUGGCCAGGCACGCCUGUAAUCCCAGCACUUUGGGAGGCCGAGGUGAAAGGAUCACUUGAGCCCAGGAAUUGGAGACCAGCGUGGGCAACUUAGCGAGACUCCAUCUCUACAAAAUGUGGUGACACAUGCCUGUAGUCCCAGCUACUCAGGAGGCUGGGGAAGGAAGAUCACUUAAGGCCAUGAGUUUUGAGGCUACAGAGAGCUAUGAUUGCACCACUGCACUCCAGCCUGGGCAAAAAAGAGACUCCUGUCUCUUGGAAAAAAAAAAAAAAAA
rnacentral:sRNA from 1 species